rnacentral:rRNA from 1 species
UCCUACGGGAGGCAGCAGUAGGGAAUUUUCCACAAUGGGCGAAAGCCUGAUGGAGCAACGCCGCGUGCAGGAUGAAGGCCCUUGGGUCGUAAACUGCUUUUAUGUGCGAAGAAUAUGACGGUAACACAUGAAUAAGGAUCGGCUAACUACGUGCCAGCAGCCGCGGUCAUACGUACGAUCCAAGCGUUAUCCGGAAUUACUGGGCGUAAAGAGUUGCGUAGGUGGUUUAUUAAGUGGAGCGUGAAGGCGUGCGGCUCAACCGCAUUACUGCGUUCCAAACUGUUAGACUUGAGUAUGAGAGAGGUAGAUGGAAUUUCUAGUGUAGGAGUGAAAUCCGUAGAUAUUAGAAGGAACACCGAUGGCGUAGGCAGUCUACUGGCUCAUUACUGACACUGAGGCACGAAAGCGUGGGGAGCAAACGGGAUUAGAUACCCCGGUAGUCCUAGCCCUAAACGAUGAAUACUUGGUGUCUGGAGUCUUUAAUGCUCCGGGUGCCGUCGCUAACGUUUUAAGUAUUCCGCCUGGGGAGUACGCUCGCAAGAGUGAAACUCAAAGGAAUUGACGG